CUAAUGACAUCUCCAAGAGCUAAUUGAGAGUGAGAUGUCAGCCAACUGGAGUCCAAUCAAUGAGAUGAGAUUGAAGGUGUUGGUUACAGCUGCCCUGCCCUAUAAAAAACACACACCAGUUCUGGAUUUGCUUUUCACAAGAAGCAUUGCCUGAUGUGAAUGAUGCCUCACACAAAAGAGCUCUCAGAAGACCUACGAUUAAGAAUUGUUGACUUGCAUAAAGCUGGAAAGGGC